rnacentral:misc_RNA from 1 species
GAAAUGCGAUAAGUAAUGUGAAUUGCAGAAUUCAGUGAAUCAUCGAAUCUUUGAACGCACAUUGCGCCCGCCAGUAUUCUGGCGGGCAUGCCUGUCCGAGCGUCAUUUCAACCAUCAAGCCCCGGGCUUGUGUUGGGGACCUGCGGCUGCCCGCAGGCCCCGAAAUCCAGUGGCGGGCUCGCAGACACACCGAGCGUAGUAGCAUACACCUCGCUCAGGGCGUGCUGCGGGUCCCGGCCGUAAAAGGACGCCUUCUCAGCACAAGGUUGACCUCGGAUCAGGUAGGAGGACCCGCUGAACUUAA